UACGGAGGGAGCUAGCGUUGUUCGGAAUUACUGGGCGUAAAGCGCGCGUAGGCGGUUAUUCAAGUCAGAGGUGAAAGCCCGGGGCUCAACCCCGGAACUGCCUUUGAAACUAGGUAACUAGAAUCAUGGAGAGGUCAGUGGAAUUCCGAGUGUAGAGGUGAAAUUCGUAGAUAUUCGGAAGAACACCAGUGGCGAAGGCGACUGACUGGACAUGUAUUGACGCUGAGGUGCGAAAGCGUGGGGAGCAAACAGG
rnacentral:rRNA from 1 species